CCACAAUGAAAAUAUGUUUAUAAACAUGCACAUACAUUGAACGCAAGUUGACAAACAAAUUAACCUACAUGAAGCAUAGUUUUGACCAUCUUAACAAUCAUCUAACACAAGUCACAAAAAGAUAAGGACUAUUGGUUACUAUGAGAGACUUCAGAUUGUCCAGAACACACAAGUUUGUAUUUACAUGCACAAAGUGCAAUCUCCAAAACACUCGAAACACCAAAUGGUCUACAAGACAAUAAGGCCCAUGAUUACAGGUUGGUUGGUCCAUAAACGCUAGAGAGUCAUCAUGUCCAUGUGCAUCAACAGGUUGAGUAC
rnacentral:lncRNA from 1 species